CUAGCGGCAGGCUUAACACAUGCAAGUCGAGGGGCAGCGCGGGAUAGCAAUAUCCUGGCGGCGACCGGCGGAAGGGUGCGUAACGCGUGAGCGACAUGCCCGUUGCCCGGGGACAACCGGUGGAAACGCCGACUAAUCCCCGAUGGGAUAUUGUGCCGCAUGGCACGAUAUUGAAAGUUACGGCGGCGACGGAUUGGCUCGCGUCCGAUUAGCUAGUUGGCGGGGUAACGGCCCACCAAGGCUACGAUCGGUAGGGGUUCUGAGAGGAAGGCCCCCCACAAUGGGACUGAGACACGGCCCAUACUCCUACGGGAGGCAGCAGUGAGGAAUAUUGGUCAAUGGGCGGAAGCCUGAACCAGCCAUGCCGCGUGCGGGAAGGAGGCCCUAUGGGCUGUGAACCGCUUUUGCCUGGGGGCAAUAAGGGCGUCGCGCACGUCCGAUGAGAGUACCAGGCGAAUAAGCAUCGGCUAACUCCGUGCCAGCAGCCGCGGUAAUACGGGGGAUGCGAGCGUUAUCCGGAUUCAUUGGGUUUAAAGGGUGCGUAGGCUGUGCGUCAAGUCGGGGGUGAAAUUCCGGUGCUCAACACCGGGGCUGCCCUUGAUACUGUCGCGCUGGAGUGCGGAUGCCGCCGGAGGAAUGAGUGGUGUAGCGGUGAAAUGCUUAGAUAUCACUCAGAACACCGAUUGCGAAGGCAUCUGGCGAAUCCGUAACUGACGCUGAGGCACGAAAGCGUGGGGAUAGAACAGGAUUAGAUACCCUGGUAUUCCACGCCGUAAACGAUGAUGGCUAACCGCCGGCGACACACUGUCGGUGGCCAAGCGAAAGCGAUAAGCCAUCCACCUGGGGAGUACGUCGGCAACGAUGAAACUCAAAGGAAUUGACGGGGGCCCGCACAAGCGGAGGAACAUGUGGUUUAAUUCGAUGAUACGCGAGGAACCUUACCCGGGCUCGAACGGCACCUGAAUCGCCCAGAGACGGGCGAGUCUUCGGACAGGUGUCGAGGUGCUGCAUGGUUGUCGUCAGCUCGUGCCGUGAGGUGUCGGCUCAAGUGCCAUAACGAGCGCAACCCCUGCCGCCAGUUGCCAUCAGGUGAUGCUGGGCACUCUGGCGGGACUGCCACCGCAAGGUGUGAGGAGGGGGGGGAUGACGUCAAAUCAGCACGGCCCUUACGUCCG
rnacentral:rRNA from 1 species